GGCAACAAUUUCAUUCAAACCCUAAUCGGAAUGUUUUGGAAUUUUUUAGCACAAUGAACCCUGUGAAGGAAACGGCGUUGUGGUACAAGGACAUACAAGGCAGGCGGAUCGAAAAGGGGGUUAUCAAAUCGAAUUUCAUUACGGUCUACAAUCCACGAUGAUUUAUGCAUCCGCUUACAGAGUAAUACUUGACGUCGGAGUACGGAGUAGCGGUUUAAUUGUCACUGAAGGCCGUCGAACAGAAUGGAGGGACGGAGAAGUGUAAUACGGAAGCGCACAUCUAAGCCCGAUGGGUCCGAUGGGUCAGUGAAAGGAACGGGCCGGAAAAGGGGACGACCCCUAAUCAAGGCAUCUAUUAAACCUGAAACAACGACCCAACAAUGUGGUUUGGUGUCCACCACAAUGGCCAUUUCACUAAUAAGGCAGAUUGCUGGAAUGACAGAAAUUGAGCAAAACUGCUCUCUGUAGGCGAGGGAUCAACUACUAAAUGUCGUCCGUUCUCAUGAAAAGAUUGUUUCCGACGAGGACAAUGAGAUAUCAUGCCUUCGCUCACGUAUAUUCGGUACUAACUGCAGGAACAAUUGGAAACUCAGAAGUCAACUACUCCCUGACUGCAGGGUGGUAUCUAUCGUGCAAAUGAAACGGGACAAAUGAUUACUACAGAAAUUGACGUAUUUUUAACUUCCUGUCGGGGCCGUUAAAACGGGGUUAUUAUGAGAGCAUGACAUUGUGUGAUGUAUAAUAUUUUUAUUGACAUCCCAAACUGUUUCCAAUUGUGUGUCAUAAAAGGGGUUACUAAUUAAAUUAUAAUUUCAGAGGAGGGGUGAGGUGGGGGUGCCUACAUAUUCUUUUGUUGUCCUAACAAAUCUUAGUUAUUCCAGGAGCUGAGGCACGAAUUAGGCGAAAAUUUUAAUAAUGUAAGCUUUCCUCAACAAGAAGGGAAGCUGGCAACUGAUAUUAUUAAUGAGGAAUGCGAGAGGAAGCUGGAUUCUUCAUUUCAGGCCCUCCACACAGGGUUUACAUCAAACAGUGAGGAGGAAACAGACACGAAUGAUUCUUUGCAUAACCAACAUGUUGGACGUAAUAAAACAUCUGUUCAAAGUCACAUUACAAAAACCGGGGAUGUUGAUCUCGCUUUCCAUGAAGUUGCAACGCAGAGUAAAUAUCAAUCACAUUUAGACAGGCCGUUAAACAUCAUAUAUGCCAUAGGAAAUAUAACCCGUUCUGCUUGAUGUUGUAGCUCAAGUUGUUAACUUUUAAAUUUUCUUCUUCAUAAGUCCACAGUGUUGUUUCCAACCAUAUCAGUCCCAUUGCAGCGUGCUAUGUUUAACACCCGGUCAGCCAGCAUGGGUUUUGGCUUGGCCUUUUCGCGGGUUUAUAUGUAACCGAAUUGUUGACAAUAUCCAAUUAUUUUAUUUUAAUUC